rnacentral:rRNA from 1 species
GAUGAACGCUGGCGGCGUGCCUAAUACAUGCAAGUCGAACGAAUGGAUUAAGAGCUUGCUCUUAUGAAGUUAGCGGCGGACGGGUGAGUAACACGUGGGUAACCUGCCCAUAAGACUGGGAUAACUCCGGGAAACCGGGGCUAAUACCGGAUAACAUUUUGAACCGCAUGGUUCGAAAUUGAAAGGCGGCUUCGGCUGUCACUUAUGGAUGGACCCGCGUCGCAUUAGCUAGUUGGUGAGGUAACGGCUCACCAAGGCAACGAUGCGUAGCCGACCUGAGAGGGUGAUCGGCCACACUGAGACUGGGACACGGCCCAGACUCCUACGGGAGGCAGCAGUAGGGAAUCUUCCGCAAUGGACGAAAGUCUGACGGAGCAACGCCGCGUGAGUGAUGAAGGCUUUCGGGUCGUAAAACUCUGUUGUUAGGGAAGAACAAGUGCUAGUUGAAUAAGCUGGCACCUUGACGGUACCUAACCAGAAAGCCACGGCUAACUACGUGCCAGCCGCCGCAGUAA